AUACGAAGAUAACGGUAGGUUUGCGUUUUUUUGGUUGCGGAAGAAAUUGGAUUUACAAAUGGAAUUAUAAAUGUUUUAAGGAAAUUUACAGCUAGUUUCGAGUUUCUCGAGUAAGAACUUGGAUUGUAGUAAAGGAGAACUGAAGUAAAACUUGCUUAUCCGUUUAAUCUUCUAUCUAAGCUGUUCAGCCUCGGGUCGCGUGUACAGUACUUUUAGCCUGAACACGGAAGUAGAGUGAAUAUGUCAUGAUGUGCCAAAGAAGUACCAGUACUCACAGUAGCUCUUUGGAUGUUCAUAUAACGUGGAAAACUAGGAAAAAUCAAAUGUUAGAUGUCAGGUCAUCUAAGUGCAAUCAGAUGAUGUUAUUCAACAUGCUGUGGCUGCAUUGAACUAGAAGUCAUUUCAGGAACAGAAUCCAGGGAUCAUAAGAGAAAUGUAUGUAUAGCCAAUGAUGAUGAUACCUGCUGGCCAAUCACUGCCAAAGAAUAACCUAUUCACAGAAAUAUGGCAUCUUUCACACAUAUGGAAUGGAACAUUUUUGCCAAGAUGCUACAUAAACUCUGACACCGAGAAUAUGGCACCUUUCCCACAUAUGGAAUGGAAAAAUUUUGCCAAGACGCUACAUAAACUCUGACACCGAGAAUAUGGCACCUUUUACACAUAUGGAAUGGAACAUUUUUGCCAAGACACUACAUAAACUCUGACACCGAGAAUAUGGCACCUUUCACACAGUCAUAUGGAAUGGAACAUUUUUGCAAAGAUGCAACAUAAACUCUGACACCGAACGUACAUUACGACUAGUAGGACAAUAAUGGUAACAUAAAUUAUACCAUGUUAAAAACUCUUGUCUUCAGUAUUGCUGCAGCCGGUCAGAUUUUGGAUUUAAUAAAUGUAUUUCAUGAAGUCACUUACAGGACAGUACCUAUUGUCAAAUUAACUGUGUCAUAUGACAUAAGCCCUGCUAAGUCAUUACUAACACUAAGUCUUGUCAACAAAUAUAUUUAUUGCUUAGA